GGUCACAUCCCUUUGAAACACCAGUUCCAGAACGAUCACUGAUGUUAAGCAAUAUCUUGCUUGGUUAGUACUUUGAUGGGUGACCGCUUGGGAAUACCAGAUGUCGCAAG